rnacentral:lncRNA from 1 species
GCAGGAUAAAGCUAUUCACCAUUGUUUCAACAUGAAGGUUUGUAAUAAAAAUUUGUUUCUAUCAGCAUUGCUUUGCAUUGCUGUUGCAGGAGUUUUGGGUCAAGCUCCUAGUAAUCCUCCUACGUCUACGCCGGCGCCACCCACACCACCGGCUUCUACUCCUCCUCCGACGACUCAAGCACCGCCUACACCAACCGCCACUCCGCCACCGGUUUCUACUCCUCCUCCCACUUCAUCACCGCCCCCAGUGACAGCUUCUCCACCCCCAGUUUCAACUCCUCCACCCAGUUCUCCUCCUCCUGCAACUCCACCACCUGCUUCUCCUCCUCCUGCAACUCCACCUCCAGCUUCUCCACCUCCUGCCACUCCUCCACCAGCUUCUCCACCUCCCGCCACUCCACCACCUGCAACCCCACCGCCAGCAACUCCUCCUCCUGCUACCCCACCACCAGCUCCAUUGGCUUCUCCUCCAGCCACAGUCCCAGCUAUCUCUCCAGUACAAACACCAUUGACAUCGCCACCAGCUCCGCCGACCGAGGCCCCAGCACCUACCCUCGGGG